rnacentral:rRNA from 1 species
AUGGCAUGCCCCAACGUUUCUUGGGGAUGCCUUCUUCUUCUACUGCUCUGUUUUGCUUGGAUGGGAGAUGCAGAGUACGCCAAGUACAAGGAUCCGAAGCAGCCUGUCAACACCAGAAUCAAGGACCUUAUUGGUAGAAUGACUCUUGCUGAAAAAAUUGGCCAGAUGACACAGAUUGAGCGUUCGGUUGCAUCUGCAGACGUCAUGAAAAAUUACUUCAUAGGUAGCAUCUUAAGUGGUGGUGGGAGUGUCCCUGCUCCUCAGGCCACACCUGCAAUGUGGAUCAACAUGGUAAAUGAAUUCCAGAAAGGUGCCUUGGCAACACGUCUGGGAAUUCCUAUGAUUUAUGGGAUUGAUGCUGUUCAUGGUAAUAACAACGUCUACAACGCCACCAUAUUCCCUCACAACGUUGGGCUUGGAGCUACAAGGGAUCCUGACCUAGUAAAGAGGAUUGGUGAAGCAACUGCUCUUGAAGUACGCGCAACAGGCAUCCCAUAUACCUUUGCUCCAUGCAUUGCAGUUUGCAGAGAUCCAAGAUGGGGUCGAUGCUAUGAGAGCUACAGUGAAGACCAUAAGAUUGUUCAGCAGAUGACAGAUAUUAUCCUUGGUCUGCAAGGAGAGAUCCCAGUGAAUCAUACCAAAGGAGUUCCUUAUGUUGCCAAGAAUAAAGUUGCUGCUUGUGCUAAACACUUCGUUGGUGAUGGUGGAACGCAUAAUGGAAUCAAUGAGAAUAACACGAUCAUUGACGAGCACGGACUGCUAGGCAUUCACAUGCCACCAUAUUAUGACUCCAUUAUCAAGGGUGUCGCUACUGUUAUGGUUUCAUAUUCAAGCGUUAAUGGUGAAAAAAUGCAUGCCAACCAUGACCUAGUCACUGGCUACUUGAAAUCCAAACUGCACUUCAGAGGUUUUGUGAUAUCUGACUGGCUAGGAAUAGACCGGAUAACCUCACCAGCUGGUGCAAACUAUACUUACUCUGUGCAGGCUGGAGUAAAUGCUGGUAUUGAUAUGGUUAUGGUCCCUUUCAAUUACACCGAGUUCAUUGAGGAUGCAACAUCUCUUGUUAACAAGCGUAUCAUCAGUAUGAGCAGAAUUGAUGAUGCUGUGAGUCGCAUCCUUCGAGUGAAAUUUACAAUGGGCCUCUUCGAGAACCCUUUAGCUGAUCUUAGCUUUGCAGAUCAGCUUGGAAAGAAGGAGCACAGGGAAUUGGCUAGAGAAGCUGUCAGGAAAUCACUUGUUCUAUUAAAAAAUGGCAACACUCCUAAUCAACAAUUCCUGCCUCUCCCAAAGAAAGCUAGUAAGAUCCUCGUAGCUGGAAGUCAUGCUAGCAAUUUAGGCUAUCAGUGUGGUGGAUGGUCAAUUCAAUGGAUGGGGGGAAGUGGAGACAUUACAGCUGGAACAACAAUUCUUGAUGCCAUAAAGUCCACCGUUGGUGAUGCAACACCUGUAGUCUACUCUGAGAACCCUGAUGACAGCUUCAUGAAGAAAAACGAGUUUUCAUUUGCUAUUGUUGUUGUUGGCGAGCCACCAUAUGCGGAAACAGUAGGCGAUAACACUGAUCUGACUAUCCUAGACCCUGGUCCAGACACAAUCCGAACCGUCUGUUCGGCACUUAAAUGCGCAGUGGUUGUCGUGUCUGGACGGCCUGUCGUUAUUGAACCAUAUCUUCCUCUGAUGGAAGCGCUUGUUGCCGCCUGGCUUCCUGGCACAGAAGGCCAGGGUAUCGCUGAUGUGCUAUUUGGGGACUAUGGCUUCACCGGAAAGCUUUCGCGCACCUGGUUCAAGUCUGUGGAUCAGCUGCCCAUGAAUUUUGGAGACCCACACUAUGAUCCGCUCUUCCCUUUGGGCUUCGGUUUGGCAAUAAAUUCAUCACAGCCAGGGUUCUCGGGCACCAGAAGCCGCGGAGAUAAGAAGGAAAUUACGGUAUGGGCCGCGUUGAGUUUGCUACUGUCAAUGAUGAUAGCUUGGGCAUAG